rnacentral:rRNA from 1 species
AAUGAACGCUGGCGGCGUGCCUAACACAUGCAAGUCGUACGAGAAAUCCCGAGCUUGCUUGGGAGAGUAAAGUGGCGCACGGGUGAGUAACGCGUGGGUAACCCACCUUCGAAUCUGGGAUAACUCCGCGAAAGCGGUGCUAAUACCGGAUAAGACCACAGCCGUUUCGGCGGCAGAGGUAAAAGCUGACCUCUCCAUGGAAGUUAGCGUUCGAGGACGGACCCGCGUCCUAUCAGCUUGUUGGUGGGGUAAUGGCCUACCAAGGCAGCGACGGGUAGCUGGUCUGAGAGGAUGAUCAGCCACACUGGAACUGGAACACGGUCCAGACUCCUACGGGAGGCAGCAGUGAGGAAUUUUGCGCAAUGGGGGAAACCCUGACGCAGCAACGCCGCGUGGGUGAAGAAGGCUUUCGGGUCGUAAAGCCCUGUCAGGUGGGAAGAACCGUUUCGAUACUAAUAAUGUCGAAGCCUGACGUACCACCAGAGAAGNACCGCCAAC